rnacentral:rRNA from 1 species
UACGUAGGGGGCAAGCGUUGUCCGGAAUUACUGGGCGUAAAGCGUGCGUAGGUGGUUCGUUAAGUCUGAUGUGAAAGCCCUGGGCUCAACCUGGGAAUGGCAUUGGAAACUGGCGAUCUAGAGUGCGGUAGAGGGUAGUGGAAUUCCCGGUGUAGCAGUGAAAUGCGUAGAGAUCGGGAGGAACAUCUGUGGCGAAGGCGACUGCCUGGACCAGCACUGACACUGAGGCACGAAAGCGUGGGGAGCAAACAGG